UAUUUAAAUAGUUUAAAUAAAAUAAUGAUUUGUGGGGUCAUAGAUGUGAUAAAAUAUCAUUUUAAAUU
rnacentral:tRNA from 2 species